rnacentral:rRNA from 1 species
CGGCAGGCUUAACACAUGCAAGUCGAGCGGAGAGAGGUAGCUUGCUACCGAUCUUAGCGGCGGACGGGUGAGUAAUGCUUAGGAAUCUGCCUAUUAGUGGGGGACAACAUUUCGAAAGGAAUGCUAAUACCGCAUACGUCCUACGGGAGAAAGCAGGGGAUCUUCGGACCUUGCGCUAAUAGAUGAGCCUAAGUCGGAUUAGCUAGUUGGUGGGGUAAAGGCCUACCAAGGCGACGAUCUGUAGCGGGUCUGAGAGGAUGAUCCGCCACACUGGGACUGAGACACGGCCCAGACUCCUACGGGAGGCAGCAGUGGGGAAUAUUGGACAAUGGGCGCAAGCCUGAUCCAGCCAUGCCGCGUGUGUGAAGAAGGCCUUAUGGUUGUAAAGCACUUUAAGCGAGGAGGAGGCUACUCUAGUUAAUACCUAGGGAUAGUGGACGUUACU